AUGGUGUUGAUUUUUUGUUUGCAGUGCACUAUGGGCCACCCGUUAGGCAAAGUCAUGUUGGUGAUGGCUGAUGAAUAUCCUUCUGGAUGUGGCUGCGGUCGAGAGUCACUGGACUUAUCUAUGGAUGGAGUGAAGAUUCAGCAUCCUUUGUAUGGUUUAACUGUUCCUGGCGGUUUGAGUUUUUAUCUGCACACAGUUUUUUCAGUUUCUAGAGUCUUUUUUUUUAUGCAAUAUAUGUCUCUUGGGCAUCAAGAAAAAGGCCGACCUCUCCACCGUGGAAGAAAAGAAAUGGACAACUACUUCAGCUGGCUAGCACAAAAUACAUUUUACUCAAGAAAAAAGUGGUUCAUUUAUGCUGUUUUUAUUUCCUCCAUGAGCAUUUUUUAUUAUCUUGUAUCGCUGUUUCGCUAA
rnacentral:rRNA from 1 species